CUUACUUUUCGGCAUGCCAUAUUCUGUUUCAACAGAUAAAAAGCCAAAAGGUAAAUUAUUUUGAGCAGUUCUGAAAUUGUUUAAUACUUCAGGAUCAUUUUUCUCUCUUCAAGGCCAAUACCUUUCAGCGUGUCAUCAACUCUGCAAGGCAGAACCAUCGGCAAGGAAGGAAUACCAAAACGCAGAAUGCAGUGAGGAUCCAGGAACUAUGAAAAUUAGAAAAUGCAUAGAUUUAGGUCUCUCCAAAACAAUGUCAAGUCUUGAGUGCAUAGCUUUCUGAGUUCUGUUCCUAAUGUACAAUGUGGUUUCAGCGUACCAGAACAAUGGAUAGAGCUGGACUUGGGAGUUGAGAAGACUUGACUUUAAACCUUGCUUCAAACACUUUCCAUCUGUGUGACUGAAAAUAUGACUUCUAUCAGCCUCAAUGUUCCCAUGUAAAAUGGGAAUCAUAAUAGCAUUUCCCUCAGUGUCAUUGUAACAAGAGAUCUCAGUACCUGGGUUAGGAUCAAGACCUAUGGAACUACAAUCCUCAAACAUCCAGCCCCAGAGCAUCUCUUUCUGAACAAAAGGGAAUUAAUUCCUUAUUAUGAAGAAGAAACAGCAGCAGGUUUGCCUUCCAAAUUAUAUUUGGACCAGACUAUUUAAAAUGACUUUCCAUUUCUGCACGCAGAAUGACUGGCAGCAAAGAAAUAGCUUCCAAAGCCUGCUGGGUGAAGAAAGAAAUAUUUGUUUUAUUCAAACUUAUUUCGGAUAAUCCAUAUGUAGAUAAUUGAAAACUGCCUCUAUUCCUGUUUUGGACAAGUCUGCUUUCUCUGGUAUUCAGUGGCUGAUAUUCGUCAUAGACUCCCUGCAUUACAGUAUAAGCUGACAUUAUUUAAUACACCAAAUCCAUUAGACACUUUUUUUUCUUUCUUGUGAACAAAGAAGAAAUGUUUUCACACAACUUUAUGGAAACCAUCAAUCUCUCUGAGAGACAUGCCACACUGAACAAAAUACACAUUAUAACUUAUGCAAAAUAGAGCAAGGAAGGCGUGGGGAAAACACUAGCAUCUUCAAGCAGUAGAAAUGCAUUAAAGAAGACAUGUGUUUCUCCUGAAAUUCAUAUUGGUAAGUGGAUUUCCCAUCUGAAACAUUGUUUUUCACUAAGAGAAGCUUUUAAUCCCCUUAAGUUCCUUUCUAAUCUGCCUUAGAAGUGCUUGUCUAAGGAAUAUAACAGUGAUGAUCUAACAGAUUUAAUUUAUUAGACCUAAACAUCAGCCAAGACACCACCGAAGAGCUCCUGCCCAAGAGAACUCACUCUCCCUGUUGGAUAAACACACCCCAAAGGCCAUCUCUGCUGGUCCCUGAGCUCCAGAAACAGUACAAUACCAAAUUAGGGUUGGGGCUUCCUGGCUUAAAUUUUUGGGAGGCUUUUAUCACCUGUGUCUGGGGUGGGAAUAGAAAUAAACUCCUCAAACC
rnacentral:lncRNA from 1 species